rnacentral:rRNA from 1 species
UACGAAGGGGGCUAGCGUUGUUCGGAAUUACUGGGCGUAAAGCGCACGUAGGCGGACUAUUAAGUCAGGGGUGAAAUCCCGGGGCUCAACCUCGGAACUGCCUUUGAUACUGCAAAUCUCGAGUCCGAUAGAGGUGGGUGGAAUUCCUAGUGUAGAGGUGAAAUUCGUAGAUAUUAGGAAGAACACCGGUGGCGAAGGCGGCCCACUGGAUCGGUACUGACGCUGAGGUGCGAAAGCGUGGGGAGCAAACAGG